rnacentral:rRNA from 1 species
UACGAAGGGUGCAAACGUUGCUCGGAAUUAUUGGGCGUAAAGCGCACGUAGGCGGCUUUUCAAGUCCCAUGUGAAAUCCCACGGCUUAACCGUGGAAGUGCAUGGGAAACUGGAAAGCUUGAGUACUUAAGAGGAUCGCGGAAUUUCCGGUGUAGAGGUGAAAUUCGUAGAUAUCGGGAGGAACACCAGUGGCGAAGGCGGCGAUCUGGGAAGAUACUGACGCUGAGGUGCGAAAGCGUGGGGAGCAAACAGG